AUCCUGCACAAAGUUUUCAUCGGUAGUAUUGAUUUAACAAGCCAACUACAGGUAGAGCUUUUUGAGAAAAUACUUUUGACUGCUUUCUCUCUUGUACUACACACUCACUCAUGACUAGUCAAGGCCAUCUUAAUGUAGCAAGGAGAGUCCAGUCUAGGUGAGUCCAUCUUGGAACUAAAGUGCAGGACUGUGUAACUAAAAUAACAGAACGUAACAAAUGUGCUACUUUAAAACAAUUAUUUAGUCCAAUAAUAUUUAAAUCGUAAUUACUGCAUGAUAAUUAUUGAUUUCCAUACUUAAAUAGGAAUAACCAUAGACUUUUGCUGUGACGUGAGAAAUUGGGCCGCCAUCUUGAAGUGGUGAUGAGGAGCCUAAACUGACAGUUGACAGGUAGACAACAAAGAUGCUAAACUGACAGUUGAUGGGUCGAAAACAAAUAUUGUAAACUGACAGUUGACAGGUUAAAAACAAGGAUGCUAAACUGACAGUUGACAGGUAGAAAACAAAGAUGCUAAAGUGACAGUUGACAGAUAGAAAACAAAGAUGCUAAACUGACAGUUGACAGGUUAAAAAAAAGAGGCUAAACUGACAGUUGGCGGGUAGAACACAAAGAUGCUAAACUGACAGUUGACGGGUAGAAAACAAAUAUGCUAAACUGACGGUUGACAGGUAGAAAACAAAGAUGCCAAACUGAUGGUUGACCGAUAGAAAACAAAGAUGCUAAACUGACAGUUGACAGGUAGAAAACUAAGAUGUUAAACUGACAGUUGACAGGUAGGAAACAAAGAUGCUAAACUGACAGUUGAAGGGUAGAAAACAAAGAUGCUAAACUGACAGUUGACAGGUAGAAAACAAAGAUGUUAAACUGACAGUUGACAGGUAGAAAACAAAGAUGCUAAACUGACAGUUGACGGGUAGAAAACAAAGAUGCUAAACUGACAGUUGACGGGUAGAAAACAAAGAUGCUAAACUGACAGUUGACGGGUAGAAAACAAAGAUGCUAAACUGACAGUUGACAGGUAGAAAACAAAGAUGCUAAACUGACAGUUGACAGGUAGAAAACAAAGAUGCUAAACUGACAGUUGACGGGUAGAAAACAAAGAUGCUAAACUGACAGUUGACGGGUAGAAAACAAAGAUGCUAAACUGACAGUUGACAGGUAGAAAACAAAGAUGCUAAACUGACAGUUGACAGGUAGAAAACAAAGAUGUUAAACUGACAGUUGACAGGUAGAAAACAAAGAUGUUAAACUGACGGCUGACAGGUAGAAAACAAAGAUGCUAAACUGACGGCUGACAGGUAGAAAACAAAGAUGCUAAACUGACGGCUGACAGGUAGAAAACAAAGAUGCUAAACUGACAGUUGACAGGUAGAAAACAAAGAUGCUAAACUGACAGUUGACAGGUAGAAAACAAAGAUGCUAAACUGACAGUUGACAGGUAAAAAACAAAGAUGCUAAACUGACAGUUGACGGGUAGAAAACAAAGAUGCUAAACUGACAGUUGACGGGUAGAAAACAAAGAUGCUAAACUGACAGUUGACGGGUAGAAAACAAAGAUGUUAAACUGACAGCUGACGGGUAGAAAACAAAGAUGCUAAACUGACAGUUGACGGGUAGAAAACAAAGAUGCUAAACUGACAGUUGACAGGUAGAAAACAAAGAUGCUAAACUGACAGUUGACAGGUAGAAAACAAAGAUGCUAAACUGACAGUUGACAGGUAGAAAACAAAGAUGCUAAACUGACAGUUGACAGGUAGAAAACAAAGAUGCUAAACUGACAGUUGACGGGUAGAAAACAAAGAUGCUAAACUGACAGUUGACGGGUAGAAAAACAAAGAUGCUAAACCGACAGUUGGCGGGUAGAAAACAAAGAUGCUAAACUGACAGUUGACUGGUAGAAUACAAAGAUGCUAAACUGACAGUUGACAGGUAGAAAACAAAAAUGCUAAACUGACAGUUGACAGGUAGAAAACAAAGAUGUUAAACUGACAGUUGACAGGUAGAAAACAAAGAUGCUAAACUGACAGUUGACAGGUAGAAAACAAAGAUGCUAAACUGACGGUUGACGGGUAGAAAACAAAGAUGCUAAACUGACAUUUGACAGGUAGAAAACAAAGAUGUUAAACUUACAGCUGACAGGUAGAAAACAAAGAUGCUAAACUGACAGUUGACAGGUAGAAAACAAAGAUGCUAAACUGACAGUUGACAGGUAGAAAACAAAGAUGCUAAACUGACAGUUGACAGGUAGAAAACAAAGAUGCUAAACUGACAGCUGACAGGUAGAAAACAAAGAUGCUAAACUGACAGCUGACAGGUAGAAAACAAAGAUGCUAAACUGACAGUUGACAGGUAGAAAACAAAGAUGCUAAACUGACAGCUGACAGGUAGAAAACAAAGAUGCUAAACUGACAGCUGACAGGUAGAAAACAAAGAUGCUAAACUGACAGUUGACAGGUAGAAAACAAAGAUGCUAAACUGACAGUUGACGGGUAGAAAACAAAGAUGCUAAACUGACAGUUGACGGGUAGAAAAACAAAGAUGCUAAACCGACAGUUGGCGGGUAGAAAACAAAGAUGCUAAACUGACAGUUGACUGGUAGAAUACAAAGAUGCUAAACUGACAGUUGACAGGUAGAAAACAAAAAUGCUAAACUGACAGUUGACAGGUAGAAAACAAAGAUGUUAAACUGACAGUUGACAGGUAGAAAAUAAAGAUGCUAAACUGACAGUUGACAGGUAGAAAACAAAGAUGCUAAACUGACAGUUGACGGGUAGAAAACAAAGAUGCUAAACUGACAGUUGACGGGUAGAAAACAAAGAUGCUAAACUGACAGUUGACGGGUAGAAAAACAAAGAUGCUAAACCGACAGUUGGCGGGUAGAAAACAAAGAUGCUAAACUGACAGUUGACUGGUAGAAUACAAAGAUGCUAAACUGACAGUUGACAGGUAGAAAACAAAAAUGCUAAACUGACAGUUGACGGGUAGAAAACAAAGAUGCUAAACUGACAUUUGACAGUUAGAAAACAAAGAUGUUAAACUGACAGCUGACAGGUAGAAAACAAAGAUGCUAAACUGACAGUUGACAGGUAGAAAACAAAGAUGCUAAACUGACAGUUGACAGGUAGAAAACAAAGAUGCUAAACUGACAGUUGACAGGUAGAAAACAAAGAUGCUAAACUGACAGCUGACAGGUAGAAAACAAAGAUGCUAAACUGACAGCUGACAGGUAGAAAACAAAGAUGCUAAACUGACAGCUGACAGGUAGAAAACAAAGAUGCUAAACUGACAGCUGACAGGUAGAAAACAAAGAUGCUAAACUGACAGUUGACAGGUAGAAAACAAAGAUGCUAAACUGACAGUUGACGGGUAGAAAACAAA